rnacentral:rRNA from 1 species
GACGAACGCUGGCGGCGCGCCUAACACAUGCAAGUCGAACGGGAAAUAUUUCAUUGAGACUUCGGUGGAUUUGAUCUAUUUCUAGUGGCGGACGGGUGAGUAACGCGUGGGUAACCUGCCUUAUACAGGGGGAUAACAGUCAGAAAUGGCUGCUAAUACCGCAUAAGCGCACAGAGCUGCAUGGCUCAGUGUGAAAAACUCCGGUGGUAUAAGAUGGACCCGCGUUGGAUUAGCUUGUUGGUGGGGUAACGGCCCACCAAGGCGACGAUCCAUAGCCGGCCUGAGAGGGUGAACGGCCACAUUGGGACUGAGACACGGCCCAG